rnacentral:rRNA from 1 species
UACGGGGGGAGCAAGCGUUGUUCGGAUUUACUGGGCGUAAAGGGCGCGUAGGCGGCACUGCAAGUUGACUGUGAAAUCUCCGGGCUUAACUCGGAAAGGUCAGCCGAUACUGCGGGGCUAGAGUGCAGAAGGGGCAACUGGAAUUCUCGGUGUAGCGGUGAAAUGCGUAGAUAUCGAGAGGAACACCUGCGGCGAAGGCGGGUUGCUGGGCUGACACUGACGCUGAAGUGCGAAAGCUAGGGGAGCGAACGGG